UACCAGCACCCGAGUGGUCGGGACGUUUUAUUGGGCCUAAAGCAUCCGUAGCCGGUUCUACAAGUCUUCCGUUAAAUCCACCUGCUUAACAGAUGGGCUGCGGAAGAUACUAUAGAGCUAGGAGGCGGGAGAGGCAAGCGGUACUCGAUGGGUAGGGGUAAAAUCCGUUGAUCCAUUGAAGACCACCAGUGGCGAAGGCGGCUUGCCAGAACGCGCUCGACGGUGAGGGAUGAAAGCUGGGGAGCAACCGG
rnacentral:rRNA from 1 species